rnacentral:sRNA from 1 species
CACAAUGGUCCGGAGUCAGCGGGUUAUCAAACCAGAUUGAGCACACCCCGUUGGCAUCACUUGACCGUUGU